UUAGCUCAUGAAUAAGGGGCUCCCAACUUUGUGCCAAGCAGGANCGGUUAUACAGAGGCCUCAAGCGUUAUCCGGAUUCACUGGGCGUAAAGGGUGCGUAGCCGGUAUAUUAGUCGGGCGUAAAUCCCUAGGGCUCAACCUUAGGCUCGCGUUCGAAACGGUAUAACUAGGAGUAGUGAGAGGUGAACAGAACUCACGGUGUAGGGGUGAAUCCGUUGAUAUCGUGGGGAAUACCAAAUGCGAAGGCAGUUCACUGGCGCUUACUCGACGCUGAGGCACGAAAGCGUGGGUAGCGAACGGGAUUAGAUACCCCGGUAGUCCACGCCCUAAACGCUGUCCGCUGGCUUUAGGGAGAAUCGACCCUCCCUGAGGCGAAGGUAACCCGUUAAGCGGACCGCCUGGGUAGUACGAGCGCAAGCUUAAAACUCAAAGGAAUAGACGGGGGCUCGCACAAGCGGUGGAUCAUGAGGCUUAAUUCGUCGAUAAGCGAAAAACCUUACCCAGGCUAGAAACCAUACUGCACGCUCUCCGAAAGGAGAGAAUCCUUCGAGGGUGUAUGGCAGGUGAUGCAUGGCCGUCGUCAGUUCGUGGCUUGAGCUGUUCCCUUAAGUGGGGAAACGAACGCAACCCUCGUUGCCUGUUACAAGUGUCAGGCGAGACUGCUCCCUCACGGGAGAGGAAGGUGAGGAUGACGCCAGGUCAGCAUGUCCCUUGAUGCCUGGGGCUGCACUCGUGAUACAAUGGGAUGUACAAAGGGACGCAAUACAGUAAUGUGGAGCAAAUCCUGAUAAAACAUUCCUCAGUUCGGAUUGAGGGCUGCAACUCGCCCUCAUGAAGCCGGAAUCGCUAGUAAUCGUGAAUCAGCACGUCACGGUGAAUACGUUCCCGAGCAUUGUACUCACCGCCCGUCAAGUCAGGGGAGUCGGAAGUGCCCGAAGGUCGUCCUCGCGGCGAACUACGGUAAUUCGAUANCAAGGACUAAGUCGUAGCAAG
rnacentral:rRNA from 1 species